rnacentral:rRNA from 1 species
UACGUAGGAGGCGAGCGUUGUCCGGAAUCACUGGGCGUAAAGCGCGUGUAGGCGGGGGGCAAGUCUGCUGUGAAAGCGCCUGGCUUAACCGGGCGAGGUCGGCGGAAACUGCUUCCCUGGAGGGCGGUAGAGGGGGGGGUGGAAUUCCCGGUGUAGUGGUGAAAUGCGUAGAUAUCGGGAGGAACACCAGUGGCGAAGGCGACUACCUGGCCUGUUCUUGACGCUGAGGCGCGAAAGCUAGGGGAGCAAACGGG